rnacentral:rRNA from 1 species
GAUCCUGGCUCAGGACGAACGCUGGCGGCGCGCCUAACACAUGCAAGUCGAACGAGCGAGAGAGAGCUUGCUUUCUCGAGCGAGUGGCGAACGGGUGAGUAACGCGUGAGGAACCUGCCUCAAAGAGGGGGACAACAGUUGGAAACGACUGCUAAUACCGCAUAAGCCCACGACCCGGCAUCGGGUAGAGGGAAAACGGAGUAAUCCGCUUUGAGAUGGCCUCGCGUCCGAUUAGCUAGUUGGUG